rnacentral:rRNA from 1 species
GAUGAACGCUGGCGGAGUGCCUAACACAUGCAAGUCGAGCGGCAGCGCGAGUAGUUUACUACUUGGCGGCGAGCGGCGGACGGCUGAGUAACGCGUGGGAACAUGCCCCAAAGUGAGGAAUAACUGCCCGAAAGGGUAGCUAAUGCCGCAUACGAUCUUCGGAUUAAAGGAUUUAUCCGCUUUGGGAGUGGCCUGCGUACGAUUAGAUAGUUGGUGAGGUAAUGGCUCACCAAGUCUACGAUCGUUAACUGGUUUGAGAGGAUGAUCAGUCAGACUGGAACUGAGACACGGUCCAGACUCCUACGGGAGGCAGCAGUGAGGAAUCUUCCACAAUGGACGAAAGUCUGAUGGAGCAACUCCGCGUGCAGGAUGAAGGCCUUCGGGUCGUAACUAGCUUUAUGAGUGAAGAAUAUGACGGUAACUCAUGAAUAAGGGUACGGCGUAACU